CAAUAGCGUAUAUUAAAGUUGUUGCAGUUAAAAAGCUCGUAGUUGGAUUUCUGGUCGGAAGCUCCUGUCCUCUGAUGAGCGUACAAGUGCGUCCUACCAUCCUUCUGUUAACCUUUAAGGCUUUCGCGGCUUUCUAGGGGCUCAGAUAUUUUACCUUGAGAAAAUUAGAGUGUUUCAGGCAGGCUAGCGCCGGAAUACAUUAGCAUGGAAUAAUGGAAUAGGACUUUUGCCUCUUCUGUUGGUCAUGAGGCUCGAGUAAUGAUUAAUAGGGAUAGUUGGGGGCAUUAGUACUUAACUGUCAGAGGUGAAAUUCUCGGAUUUGUUAAAGACUAACUUAUGCGAAAGCAUUUGCCAAGGAUGUUUNCGUUAA
rnacentral:rRNA from 1 species